rnacentral:lncRNA from 1 species
AUGAGACAUCGUGGUGGGAUUCGGGUGCUUGGGCACGCUUGGAGACACGGGCCUGCAGCUCCCCUUCGAAGACUUGCAGAUAGCCCCACCUCUACUUUUGGGGAGCUGCUGAUUUGUAGCAAUAUCAGCUGCCUAAUCCUGAUGCCUGGCAAGACUGCUUCUUCAAAACUGUGGUUGAGACUUCAUUUUAAUAAUCAGAGCAAUCUGAAUGUGUACUUGUUUCUGCCCGAGGCAUAAAAGUUUGCAUUUUGAUAACAUUUGCACAUUAUAGAAAACGCACCUGUGACAAUGAACUCCGCUAAAGCCCUGCCUUCACACCCCAAAAGAAAAAUAACCGAACAGGUAAUUUAUUAUUAAAAGUCGAACCUAACACACAGAAGUAUAGAUGUUCAGAGUUAAUACAGCUUUUUUUCCUCGCUUACCUCAUCAUGGUUGUUUAUGGAUUACAGCAUCUGCUGUAGAUUAUGUAAGAUCUGUUGCAAAAGCUUGCUGCAUCUGAUGAAUAAGGGCAAAGUCUGAGUUUAAUUUUGAAUUUUCAGAGUUUAGUGAAUUCUGCUGUAACCUCCUCCAUCAUCUUAUUGCUUCAGCAGGUACAAUUGCAAAUGGUGUCUUUCUAUGAUUAAUGGCAAAACUACUGCCUCUUAGUGCCUUGAGGUUGUAACCCUAUGUGUUAGGAGCUGUGCAAAUGUAAUCAAAGGACGUUCCUUAUGCCAGAGUCCUAAAAUGAAAAUACUAGUUCAAAGAAAAUUAUCCUUUUGAAGGGAUGAAUUGCUACGCUACAUCAUUAGAAAUGACAUUGGCUUUUUAUGAGAUGUUAAAGUCAUUUAAAUUAGAAGAAUGGUCUUCAGAAUCCAAAUUCUAUCCUUAGCUCAAUUUUUAAUAUUCAAACUACACCCAUAUCCAUUUUGAAAUCACACAAACCAGUCAGCAAUCAGAAAGCUUAAUCCCGUUCAAUUUAUCCAGAUGAGUGGUCUCACUGGGGUUAGCUGAACCGNNNNNNNNNNNNNNNCAUGGUUACUUACUUCUUGCUUAGGUAAUGUUAAAUCAUUUGAUGAAAUCUUCAAAGGCCACCAACAAGACAAAUUAACAGAGACUGAGAAAUAUCCAGCUAUGCUCUGCAAUUAGAUGUACAAAAGACAAAUUCCAAAGGAGAAAAAUGAAAACAAGAGAUCUCUUUUAGCAUGAGGAGCUUACCAUUUUUAGUAUCAGAGUGAAAUCAGAAUAAUACAACUAGAUUAUUCUAAUUAAUUAGGCCAAUAUUUUAAAAGACUGUACAGGCAAAUUGCUUUCAGGAAGUAAUUGGAUUCUGCACAAGAAUUAAAUAUUUUGCAUGCAGAGCUUGCAAAUGUACAAUUUUCCUGAAGAAAAAUGAAUGUAUACUCAUUUAAUUACAUAAUGCAUCCUAUGACAUAUGUGGGAAUAUAUAAAGCAACAGAAUAAAGGACAAAUGAACAACUCA